rnacentral:rRNA from 1 species
GAUGAACGCUGGCGGCGUGCCUAAUACAUGCAAGUCGAGCGAACGGACGAGAAGCUUGCUUCUCUGAUGUUAGCGGCGGACGGGUGAGUAACACGUGGAUAACCUACCUAUAAGACUGGGAUAACUUCGGGAAACCGGAGCUAAUACCGGAUAAUAUUUUGAACCGCAUGGUUCAAAAGUGAAAGACGGUCUUGCUGUCACUUAUAGAUGGAUCCGCGCUGCAUUAGCUAGUUGGUAAGGUAACGGCUUACCAAGGCAACGAUGCAUAGCCGACCUGAGAGGGUGAUCAGCCACACUGGAACUGAGACACGGUCCAGACUCCUACGGGAGGCAGCAGUAGGGAAUCUUCCGCAAUGGGCGAAAGCCUGACGGAGCCACGCCGCGUGAGUGAUGAAGGUCUUCGGAUCGUAAAGCUCUGUUAUUAGGGAAGAACAUAUGUGUAAGUAACUGUGCACAUCUUGACGGUACCUAAUCAGAAAGCCACGGCUAACUACGUG